UACGUAGGGGGCAAGCGUUGUCCGGAAUCAUUGGGCGUAAAGAGCGUGUAGGCGGCUCGGUAAGUCCGCUGUGAAAGUCCAGGGCUCAACCCUGGAAUGCCGGUGGAAACUGUCGAGCUAGAGUCCGGAAGAGGCGAGUGGAGUUCCUGGUGUAGCGGUGAAAUGCGCAGAUAUCAGGAGGAACACCAAUGGCGAAGGCAGCUCGCUGGGACGGUACUGACGCUGAGGAGCGAAAGCGUGGGGAGCAAACAGG
rnacentral:rRNA from 1 species